UACGUAGGGUGCAAGCGUUAAUCGGAAUUACUGGGCGUAAAGCGUGCGCAGGCGGUUCGUUGUGUCGGUGGUGAAAUCCCCGGGCUUAACCUGGGAAUGGCCAUGGAAGCUGGCGAACUGGAGUGUGGCAGAGGGGGGUGGAAUUCCACGUGUAGCAGUGAAAUGCGUAGAGAUGUGGAGGAACACCGAUGGCGAAGGCAGCCUCCUGGGCCAGCACUGACGCUCAUGCACGAAAGCGUGGGGAGCAAACAGG
rnacentral:rRNA from 1 species